rnacentral:lncRNA from 1 species
ACUUAAAAAUUUAUCACAUUUGGAUGUCACUAUAUGAAUGUAAGCCAAGACCUAAUGUAUAUCGAAAGGGUUGGAAUAUUUUUUUUUUGCUUUCCAAAACAAAUUUAGGAUAAAUAACAAAUGUUACAUUCCCUUUUUUUUAUUUUGAUUUUACCUUUCAAAAAUUCAUUUUAUUUUAUUUUUUAAAAAAUUGAAAAGAUAAAAAAGAUUGGAAUUUUUAUAAGAAUUUUCUUUUUCCAAAAUUUAAUGCAAAAAUAUCUUAAAAAGAAAAAUGAUGAACCUAAUUUACUAAAAUAAGCAAAAAUAAACGCUAAUUAUCCUUUUACAAACUUAAUCAACUAAAAUAAAAUAAAAAUAAAAAAAUAGAGCUAAAAUUGAAUAGAAAUUUUUGGUGUCUACAGUUAUGUGGCCAUCUCAAAACUUUAAGGGGAUCAUUUGAUGUUAUGCAAAACAAUAGGGGGUUAUAUGUAAUUUUUCCAAAAAUAAUUGAUUUAUUUGCUUAAUAUCUCUCAUUCGCCAAUUAAUCAUUCUCUCGAAGGCCUCUUUGACGUGUACUCGACUUGGAUAAAUGGCCUCUUUUCCUUAAGAAUUCCCAUUUCCCCAAACGAUCAAUUUAUUUGCUUAAUAUCUCUCAUUCGCCGGUGAAUCAUUCUCGCAGGUUGGAAAUUAUUGUGUCUUGUGAAAAGGGCAAGAAAAGAAUACAAGAAACUCCAUCAAAUAGUUAUUUGGUUCCUUUCUCCCAUAUCCGAAGAAGCAUAUGUUUAUAUUUCUAAAAUUACUAUGUUAAAUUAUCAUCAAGUUGCAUACUAUGUGAAAUUAUCACCAAGUUGCAUGCGCAUGUCUUUACUUUUUCAUUAGCUAAUGACUUGGAUUCACAAAAUCGUUAUAUCAAAUAGAAACAUUACCACUAAUAAGUGUGCAUUUUGAGUAUUUUAAGUGUGUUUUAUUAGUUAGUUUUGCUGUGUUUUAAUUAGUUUUAUAACUUAUGAGUUAAGUUGUUAGUGAAAAUAUGCAUUUUAUUGUUUAAGUGGUAAAAGUUGCAUUUCUAUGAAUUUUAAUAGUAAAAAUUUUAUGUUUUUGUAGGUUUAGUGAUUCAAUCAUCAAAUUGCAAGAAUUGAGAAGAUAAUUGGAUGACCAGUGAUGGUUUGAACUGAUAAAAUGAGAAUAUGAAGUGCAAGAGAUGAAAUGCAACUUAGUAAACAAGAAAGAAGUUUUACAGCUUUGAUAUUUUGUGGUAUUUCGGCUAUAUCUUGAGUUACAAGCAUUAGAUUAAAGUUAUUCUUGUACCAUUUUAAAGCAAAGAUAUACAUAUACAUUUGUCAUGAAGAUAUUGAAAUCC